rnacentral:rRNA from 1 species
AGUGAACGCUGGCGGUAGGCCUAACACAUGCAAGUCGAACGGCCGCACAGUAAGGUCAUCCUCUUACGGGUGAGGAGUGGCGGACGGGUGGGGCAUACAUCGGAAUCUACUUUUUCGUGGGGGAUCACGUAGGGAAACUUACGCUAAUACCGCAUACGACCUACGGGUGAAAGCAGGGGCUCUUCGGACCUUGCGCGAUUGAAUGAGCCGAUGUCGGAUUAGCUAGUUGGCGGGGUGAAGGCCCACUAAGGCGACGAUCCGUAGCUGGUCUGAGAGGAUGAGCAGCGACACUGGAACUGAAGCACGGUCCGCACUCCUACGGGAGGCAGCAGUGGGGAAUUUUGGACGAUGGGCGCAAGCCUGAACCAGCCAUACCGCGUGGGUGAAGAAGGCCUUCGUGUUGUAAAGCCCUUUUGUUGGGAAAGAAAAGCAGCAGCUUAAUACCCCGCUGUUCUGACGGUACCCAAAGAAUAAGCACCGGCUAACUUCGGG